CUUGUUUUGGCCACACGUGUACUUAAAAAACUGGAACGGUGCAGAGAUUAGUGUGUCCCCUGCGCAAGGAUGACAUACGCAUUUGUGAAGCGUUCCAUAAAAAA